GUGCCAGUUUCAGCAGCACAUGUACUAAAGCUGAGAGGACACUAGGAAAAUCAGCACAGCCCCUGUGCAAGGGGGACGAGCAAGUUCACGCAGCAUUCUGUACUUCU
rnacentral:snRNA from 1 species